UCUUCUUUUUCAGACUCAAUGUGUAUUCCUUUGUUCUGCUUAAGUAUUUAUACUCAAUGCGUCAAUGACUCUCAGGCACUCUCCAGCCUUCGUUUAUUUCAGACUCCACGAAGGAGGAAGAGGUGUCCUUCUGCUACAGCACAAGAGGGGUGCAUGCAGGCUAAUUGCCCUGUGUUGGCUGCCUAGUGGGACCCACUGGCCACAGGGAACCAAUGCACACAAUUGGAGCUGAUCUUUCUCUGUCUCUUCUCCAUCAGAUAAUUUCAACUGGAGACAGGGAUGGAUGGAAAAACUUACACUCCCAAGACAUCAGGCCUCACCAGCAAUCUUGGGCUUCUCAUUUAAAUUCCCUGAGUUUUUACUGAAGAAGUUUGCAAAGACCAGGGUGAAGGCUAUAUUGGACUGCCCAGGGAACCACACUCUUCAGGGACUGUGGACAUUAGGAAGACAUGUCCAGUUGACAGUGAACGGCUAAGCCAAGGGCCUCCCUAUUCCCUGAAGCACAACAAUAUUGAAAUUGGGCCAAUUAAUAAUCCUACGAUAGCCUCCAAAUGUUCAG